AUCUUGCGCAAUGGGCGAAAGCCUGACGCAGCGACGCCGCGUGAGCGAUGAAGGCCUUCGGGUUGUAAAGCUCUGUGGGGAGAGACGAAUAAGGUGCAGCUAAUACCUGCAUCGAUGACGGUAUCUCCUUAGCAAGCACCGGCUAACUCUGUGCCAGCAGCCGCGGUAAGACAGAGGGUGCAAACGUUGUUCGGAAUUACUGGGCGUAAAGCGCGUGUAGGCGGCAGCGUGUGUCGGGCGUGAAAUCCCACGGCUCAACCGUGGAAGUGCACCCGAAACUGCGCAGCUAGAGUCCUGGAGAGGAAGGUGGAAUACUUGGUGUAGAGGUGAAAUUCGUAGAUAUCAAGUGGAACACCGGUGGCGAAGGCGGCCUUCUGGACAGUGACUGACGCUGAGACGCGAAAGCGUGGGGAGCAAACAGGA
rnacentral:rRNA from 1 species